rnacentral:rRNA from 1 species
UCGAGAAUAGUCUACAAUGGACGGAAGUCUGAUAGUGCGACGCCGCGUGAACGAAGAAUCCCUUCGGGGUGUAAAGUUCUUUUAUACGUGAGCAGUGCCCUUUAUAUGAAUAGUAUAGAGGGAGGGAUUUAAGCGUAUGAAUAAGCAACGGCUAACUCCGUGCCAGCAGCCGCGGUAACACGGGGGUUGCAAGCGUUGUCCGGAAUUACUAGGCGUAAAGUGCAGGUAGGCGGAUAGAUAAGUUUAAGGUUAAAGGCUACGGCUUACCCGUAGUAAGGCGUUAGAUACUGUUUAUCUGGAAUGCGGUUGAGGGAGACAGAAUUCCUGGUGUAGCGGUGGAAUGCGCAGAGAUCAGGAGGAAUACCGAAGGCGAAGGCAGUCUUCAAGCCGAUAUUGACG